GCUCAGAACGAACGCUGGCGGCAGGCUUAACACAUGCAAGUCGAACGCCCCGCAAGGGGAGUGGCAGACGGGUGAGUAACGCGUGGGAAUCUACCCAUCUCUACGGAAUAACUCAGGGAAACUUGUGCUAAUACCGUAUACGCCCUUCGGGGGAAAGAUUUAUCGGAGAUGGAUGAGCCCGCGUUGGAUUAGCUAGUUGGUGGGGUAAAGGCCUACCAAGGCGACGAUCCAUAGCUGGUCUGAGAGGAUGAUCAGCCACAUUGGGACUGAGACACGGCCCAAACUCCUACGGGAGGCAGCAGUGGGGAAUAUUGGACAAUGGGCGCAAGCCUGAUCCAGCCAUGCCGCGUGAGUGAUGAAGGCCCUAGGGUUGUAAAGCUCUUUCACCGG
rnacentral:rRNA from 1 species